UGGGGAAUUUUGGACAAUGGGGGCAACCCUGAUCCAGCAAUGCCGCGUGAGUGACGAAGGCCUUAGGGUUGUAAAGCUCUUUUACCAGGGACGAUAAUGACGGUACCUGGAGAAUAAGCCCCGGCAAACUUCGUGCCAGCAGCCGCGGUAAUACGAAGGGGGCUAGCGUUGUUCGGAAUUACUGGGCGUAAAGCGCACGUAGGCGGAUUGUUAAGUCAGAGGUGAAAUCCCGGAGCUCAACUUCUGAACUGCCUUUGAUACUGGCAAUCUCGAGUCCGGAAGAGGUUAGUGGAAUUCCCAGUGUAGAGGUGAAAUUCGUAGAUAUUGGGAAGAACACCAGUGGCGAAGGCGGCUAACUGGUCCGGUACUGACGCUGAGGUGCGAAAGCGUGGGGAGCAAACAGGAUUAGAUACCCCCGUAGUCCCUGAGCGGGCUGGCAAGGCGCAU
rnacentral:rRNA from 1 species